AUUGAACGCUGGCGGCAUGCCUUACACAUGCAAGUCGAACGGCAGCACGGGAGCAAUCCUGGUGGCGAGUGGCGAACGGGUGAGUAAAGUAUCGGAACGUGCCCAGUCGUGGGGGAUAACGUAGCGAAAGUUACGCUAAUACCGCAUACGAUCUAUGGAUGAAAGCGGGGGAUCGCAAGACCUCGCGCGAUUGGAGCGGCCGAUAUCAGAUUAGGUAGUUGGUGGGGUAAAGGCUCACCAAGCCGACGAUCUGUAGCUGGUCUGAGAGGACGACCAGCCACACUGGGACUGAGACACGGCCCAGACUCCUACGGGAGGCAGCAGUGGGGAAUUUUGGACAAUGGGCGAAAGACUGAUCCAGCCAUGCCGCGUGCAGGAUGAAGGCCUUCGGGUUGUAAACUGCUUUUGUACGGAACGAAAAGGACUGCCCUAAUACGGUGGUCCCAUGACGGUACCGUAAGAAUAAGCACCGGCUAACUACGUGCCAGCAGCCGCCGUAACAC
rnacentral:rRNA from 1 species